rnacentral:misc_RNA from 1 species
UAUCAGAAUGUGAUGAAGAAUUCCAUUACCAGGCAAUCUCAUCACCUCUUCCAUGUCCGAUUCCAGCUCGAAUCUCCAUACCCGAAUGCAAAAAUCAUCAAGAUUUUGAUUGGUACUUCACUGGUGAGGAAUGUAGGUUCUCCACUGCCCAAAGCACUCCCAGGUUUGCAAACUCUGUCCAGUCGAAUGCCCCUGCUACACCAGCCAAG